GAACGCAGCUAGCUGCGAGAAUUAAUGUGAAUUGCAGGACACAUUGAUCAUCGACACUUUGAACGCACUUUGCGGCCCCGGGUUCCUCCCGGGGCUACGCCUGUCUGAGGGUCGCUUGACGAUCAAUCGCA
rnacentral:rRNA from 1 species